GGGCGGCCCCGAGCCCGGCCGGGCCCUCGGAAGUCGGAAGAGGAGGGUGCCGAGUGGCUGCGAACAUCGAAAGGCAGCGUCAAGUUCUGCUUCCCGCGCUGACCGGCCCCGCUCGCCCACGCGUGCCCGGGGAGGCUGGGGGCCAGCCGAGGGGCGGGCGCGGGGCCGGGGGCGCGGGGAAGUGAGCGGAAGUCGGAGCAGAGACCGCGGAAGGAGGGUGGCUGGCGGCGGUCGCGGCAGUCUCCGAGGCCGGUUCAGAUUUGCUGUUUCCGCGUCAGCUUUCCUGGUUUAAGACUAGAGUGUGGCCGCGCUGUGCUUUUCUGUAGAAAGCAACGGUCGAGAGUGCCUCUCGGGUGUAGUGCUCCGAUCGGAAAGGCGGGAGCUUGGUGAUCAAGGGGUUCAGUGCGGCUCAGCCGAUUCCUCAACCUGCCCCUCAAGGGCUCCCCGUUCUGAAAAUGAGUUCUUCAUGUCUGCGGUCCCCGUGUUGGAAACCUGCAGAGGAUGUUGCGGGGGGAAGGGAGGGCUCAGUCUUCCAGGCCGAAGGUGCGUGUGAGCAGGAGUGAGCCUCCAUGUGCGAUGAGGGUCUUUGUUCCAGGAGCCCCCCCUUCCCAAACCUCCAGUGAGUGGUGGGGUGAAGGGUUAGGGCUGCAUGAAGGCGGGGCAGCUUGUCUGAGUUCAAAAGAGCAGGUGAUCCCCAGGGAAGCCGCAGCCCCCAAGUGCUGAUUAUCUUAAAAUGGUCCAGACCCCUUGCCUCCCGUGCCUGUGUCCCGUGUCCUGCCCGUGGUCAUCUCCUGAGAAACUUCUCGUUAAAUAGUGACGUGUAUUGCAUUUGUUCUCCUUUCUUGCCUGUCAUUCUCUGCUCCCAAGCCCAGGUUACAAGCUCAUCCUUUUGUUUCUGCUUAAUUUGAUUGGAUGUUUCCCCUUAUUCUUUGACUCUCCAGUCUCCCUCGGGCCUUUGGACAUCUCACAGAAGGCAGUGUUGAGAGCCCAACUCUGGAGACGGACUUGGGUUGAAUCUCAGCUCCACCACUAACUAGCUCUAUGAUUUGAGACAAAUUACUUAAAUCUGUCUACGCUGCCGCUUCCACUGCUGUAAAAUGGACAUGAUACUAACACCAUCUCAACAAGGUUGACUGGAGGAUUGAAGGAAAUGAUCAUGUAGUUUAUCUAGUCUUAUCUAUCAGAGUCAUGAGCCCCCUUACUCCUAAGCUACCCUUGCUAUCUCCCCUUCCGCACCCCUUUACUUUGCCACCUAACUCAUUAAACAAGGGGUUGCUUGACAUGUUUUCUCUGUGUAUAGAGAGCUUGUUUCCUCAGCCUGCUUUUUAAGUUCUUUAAACAUUGUCACUUUUAUUUCUGUGUAUACUCAAGGCACCAAUUUGGUACAUUGCACAUAGCUUGUAUUUAAUGUGUUUGUUGAUUGAGUGAUUAAUAAAAUCUCACUGAUACCUAGAGAGAGAUUUUUCUAGAAUAUUUGAAUUUAUGGAAAAGGAAAACUUCAUGGGACAGGGUAAGUAGAAGAAAAUUUGACAUAUGAAGUUAUCUUGUUAGUUUAGGACCAUAAAAAUGUAUCAUAUAUAAUAAUCUCAAUUAUAUAAGGAAAACUGCAAAAAAGACAAUUGGAAGUGAGCAUGCCAAAUGUUAGAGUUGAUGCCCUGGUCUAGUAGGAUUAUGAGUGGGGUUUUUUCUCUUGCUUUAUAAUUUUUAGUCCUUUCCAACUUUUCUACAGUCAGUGUGUAUUAUUCUGCUACUCAGGAAAAGUACUUAAAUUAUACCUAUAAUUUAGUUGAUAAAAAUGAUCAUAUUUUGUUUUUUUGGGUUUUUAAAAAAUUUUUUUUAAUGAUCAUAUUUUGGGUAGUUAGAGAUGGAGGGGGAAAAAAGAAAUCCUGAGAAUAAAAGCAACAGUUUUCUUCUAAGUUUUUCAUCAUUUUUUUUUCAGACCAGCUAAUAUUUUCUGAUUUGUGGUAGAAAAUCAACUCAUCAAUUUGAAAUGUAAAGACAUUCCCUUUUCAGUGACCAGGAUACUUGUCUUGCGUAUUUAAGGGACUUCCCUUGAAGUAUCAAGAUCCCAGGCGGGGAGCCAAAAUCAUAGAAGGGUUCAUGUUAAAUCCAGAGUCAAGGCAGUGUGAGUGGAAUGGUCUUAAUGGUUAUUUCAACCAAGCUGUAAUGGUCUAGUGAACUUUGACCUAACCAGUGAUUUUCUUUUUUGGCUUAAAGAUGCAACCAGUGCCCUCUUGCUUGUAUUACUGUAACACUUUUUUUGUUUUUUAAUUUCAAAAUUUACAGUUUACUUCAAAAAGAGUUGCCAUCCAUUUUUAUUGAAAAUUAAGAUGACACCUUGAUUUAUCUGUGCACAGAGUCAUUCAUUCAACAAAAAUUUGCCAAGCACCUAUCCAGUGCCAGGCUCUGUGCUGAUGCUGGGAACACUGGGCAAGACCUGGUCCUUAUCUUCCAGGAGGUUAGCGUCUAGUUGAUGGACAUGCAUAUAUAAACAAUGAUGUAGAGAGAAUUAUCUCAGGGGCUUUGGUAGUUCCCUGGGUAGACAAACUCACAGCAGCCAGUGAGACACUAAGGAAGAGCCAGUUCUAGUGGCAAAAGAGGACAGCAAGAAGGAGGAGGCAGGAAAAGCCUCAUAGAAAACUAGUUAUCUGGGCUGGUUAUGGCUCUAGCUUGUAAGCGGGUAGUCCUUCCUAAUAUGAGACUAUUAUUCUUUUCUGUACUUUGCCCUAAUCAUGUCGUCUUAUACAUUAGCCAUCUGAUUACAUUCUCUGAUACAUUAAGGGUAUGCUUUGUGAUUCCUUCUUUCAUUGAUAGGUCCAGUAAGUUUACAACAUUCAAAUCCUAUUCCGUGGACUGGCCAAAAUUUAAAAAUAUGGACACGGGACUUGAAGGAUGUUUGAUGGAGCCAGAAGAGGAUAUGACCAGCAAGAAUAUUUGUUUAAACUGAAAUCGAGACCUUCCUUCUCUUCAAUGGAGACUCCCAGAUACACAAGCUAUUGGGGGCUAUCCUACCAGAGAGCACAGUAAAGGCAGUUUAUACGUGGGACGCCUACCACAGCAUGGCCGCCAAGCAGU